UUUCACUGUCUAUUAGUUUUUCUCUGAUUUAGGGUUAGACCAGUAAAGUUGUUAAAUUGUUAAAUUUAUGUAUUUUAAAUUUAUUUAUUUACAUAGUUUAGUUAAGACUAUGCAAAAUUUAAUUAGUGUAAAUUUGUUUACACUUUCAAUAUUGUGUGUUGCUUCUCUUAAAUGAGAUAAAAACCCAAGGAUGCAAAAAACUUAAUAUAAAAUAGUGUGAAGAAGAAGUAGUAACUGAAAUGAACAGCAUAAUAGAAUUUGAUAAGUUUGACUCAGCACUUGACAAUGUUUCAUCUAGUAACUCUGUAGUAUCUCUGCAGUUGUAAACUGCUAAAUACUGAUUUGACAGAUUUUUCUUUUUUUUUAAAUUUUCUUUACAAUAUAUAAUUUUUACUACUUAAUUAGGAAUUGUCAGAUUUCCAUUAUUUCUUUCUAUUAGAAACAAUGAGUUCAAAAUAUUGGUGGUAAGAACUGACAAAAACUUGUGAUAGCUAUGAUGAAGAGUUUUAUGACAAAUUCACUCAUGGCCAAAAUUAAUAUGGCAGCUGCAAAAAGGCAAAGGAUCUUUUUAGCCUAACCAAGCUAUACAACUUAAUAAAAGUUUGUGCAUUGACUUCUCACGAAUCAUACACAGAGUCGAUUGUCGAUGCAAUAAUUACUGAUUCGUGAAAUCCGGCAACCUUUGCUUGUCUUAAAGUGCCUUAAAUCCAACAGAUAUCAUCGUUAUAAUAUUACUUUGUUUGUAAAUUGUUUUAAAAAAUAAAUUUAAAAAUAACUUUUAAA